rnacentral:rRNA from 1 species
GAUGAACGCUGGCGGCGUGCCUAAUACAUGCAAGUCGAGCGAACAGACGAGGAGCUUGCUCCUUUGACGUUAGCGGCGGACGGGUGAGUAACACGUGGAUAACCUACCUAUAAGACUGGGAUGACUUCGGGAAACCGGAGCUAAUACCGGAUAACAUGUUGAACCGCAUGGUUCAACAGUGAAAGACGGUCUUGCUGUCACUUAUAGAUGGAUCCGCGCCGCAUUAGCUAGUUGGUAAGGUAACGGCUUACCAAGGCAACGAUGCGUAGCCGACCUGAGAGGGUGAUCGGCCACACUGGAACUGAGACACGGUCCAGACUCCUACGGGAGGCAGCAGUAGGGAAUCUUCCGCAAUGAGCGAAAGCCUGACGGAGCAACGCCGCGUGAGUGAAGAAGGUCUUCGGAUCGUAAAACUCUGUUAUUAGGGAAGAACAAAUGUGUAAGUAACUAUGCACGUCUUGACGGUACCUAAUCAGAAAGCCACGGCUAACUACGUG